rnacentral:rRNA from 1 species
UACGUAGGUGACAAGCGUUGUCCGGAUUUACUGGGCGUAAAGAGCGCGCAGGCGGUCGUUCAAGUCGAGUGUGAAAGCCCCCGGCUCAACUGGGGAGGGUCACUCGAUACUGAUCGACUCGAAGGCAGGAGAGGGAAGUGGAAUUCCCGGUGUAGUGGUGAAAUGCGUAGAUAUCGGGAGGAACACCAGUGGCGAAGGCGAGUCCCUGGACAACACCUGACACUGAGGCACGAAAGCUAGGGGAGCAAACAGG